ACAUGCAGUCGAGCGGACCGACGGGAGCUUGCUCCCUUAGGUCAGCGGCGGACGGGUGAGUAACACGUGGGUAACCUGCCUGUAAGACUGGGAUAACUCCGGGAAACCGGGGCUAAUACCGGAUGCUUGAUUGAACCGCAUGGUUCAAUCAUGAAAGGCGGCUUCGGCUGCCGUUUACAGAUGGACCCGCGGCGCAUUAGCUAGUUGGUGAGGUAACGGCUCACCAAGGCGACGAUGCGUAGCCGACCUGAGAGGGUGAUCGGCCACACUGGGACUGAGACACGGCCCAGACUCCUACGGGAGGCAGCAGUAGGGAAUCUUCCGCAAUGGACGAAAGUCUGACGGAGCAACGCCGCGUGAGUGAUGAAGGUUUUCGGAUCGUAAAGCUCUGUUGUUAGGGAAGAACAAGUACCGUUCGAAUAGGGCGGUACCUUGACGGUACCUAACCAGAAAGCCACGGCUAACUACGUGCCAGCAGCCGCGGUAAUACGUAGGUGGCAAGCGUUGUCCGGAAUUAUUGGGCGUAAAGCGCGCGCAGGCGGUUUCUUAAGUCUGAUGUGAAAGCCCCCGGCUCAACCGGGGAGGGUCAUUGGAAACUGGGGAACUUGAGUGCAGAAGAGGAGAGU
rnacentral:rRNA from 1 species